rnacentral:pre_miRNA from 1 species
CAACUACUCCCUCUGUCCUGAAUUUCUUGUCUUAGAUUUGUCUAGAUACGGAUGUAUCUAAUACUAAAAUGUGACUUGAUACAUCCGUAUCUAGACAAAUCUAAGACAAGAAUUUUGGGACGGAGGGAGUACCUU